UACGUAGGGGGCUAGCGUUGUCCGGAUUUAUUGGGCGUAAAGAGCGUGUAGGCGGCCAGACAGGUCCGUUGUGAAAACUCGAGGCUCAACCUCGAGACGCCGAUGGAAACCGUCUGGCUAGAGUCCGGAAGAGGAGAGUGGAAUUGCUGGUGUAGCGGUGAAAUGCGUAGAGAUCAGCAGGAACACCCGUGGCGAAGGCGGCUUCCUGGGCCGCCCCUGACGCUGAGGCGCGAAAGCGUGGGGAGCGAACGGG
rnacentral:rRNA from 1 species